GCGGAUCUCUUAAAGACUGUUCUCAGUUCGGACUGCAGUCUGCAACUCGACUGCACGAAGCUGGAAUCGCUAGUAAUCGCGGAUCAGCACGCCGCGGUGAAUACGUUCCCGGGCCUUGUACACACCGCCCGUCACACCAUGGAAGUCUGCAAUGCCCGAAGCCGGUGGCCUAACCACUUAUGUGGAAGGAGCCGUCUAAGGCAGGGCAGAUGACUGGGGUGAAGUCGUAACAAGGUACC
rnacentral:rRNA from 1 species